GGGGCCUGGACUGAACCAGCCUAGUUAGCGAGGACCAGGGGAGCAAGGCAGGCGUGCACGCUGGGAGAGAGCGCACCUCGCUGGGCUUUAGUCCACCGCACUCGUGGUUCUUCAGGCUGAAACGGUUUGAGACGAAGCGGAGGAUGAGGAGUGGAUGGGGGGGAGCAAAGGGUCCCCACCCACCCCUCUGUCUCCAGUGGAGAUGGGGAGAAGGACAAAGGAGCUCUCUCCUUCCUCCAGCCCCCCUCCUCAAAAGGGCAGCAGAUUUGCCAGCAUUGAUUAGUACUUGGUAUCGUAGAUGUGAAUCAUCUGGACUGGACUGAAAAUUUGAACCAGUUAUAAAAGUGGUUUAUAUAAAUGAGAAUAUGACUUGAUAAAGCUCAGCGGUUGGUCCAUUACUACGGCAUCACAUGGCAUGCAAAGUUCAGACCUCAAUAUCAAUCAAAUAGACAGUGUUUGACUGUAGAUUUUACAUUCAUACAAAUUAAAUAAUACACUUUUGGACCAGAAAAAGUUACUCAGUUCGACAUGUUUGAUUAUUUUGUCAUUCAUUCAUUCAUUCACUCAUUCACACAGCCUUUGUAAACCUUGACAUCAAUAUACUCAUCAAUAUAGUCUAUAUUUAGAUAUAAUGUGUGCAUGAAAAAGGACAUUCUGUUUUUACUAUUCUGUGACAGUUAAUCAACAUUAACCCAAAAAAUUGUUCAAAAAUGACUCUUCCAUCCUUUAACAAACUAGCUAUACCCAUAAUGCCAUUCUUUAAUCUGACAUUCUCUGUUGCAGGCUGACUGACGGGCAAUGAAAACACAUGUAUGUGCACACUGGAGUUUCCCAGAAUUCAACGCUUGACUGAAUUGAACGCAUUAACAUACAUUGAGGUUAAAAAGCACCAGAAGGCAUCUACCCACAAGAAGCUUGGAGUAACCAUCAAAACAGUGGUCUUGAUAGUCUUUGACAUCACCUACGUUCUCUCUCUGUCAUGGAUGAUGGAUGGUUAAAAUGGUGAAAUGGGUGAUUGGCCUCAUCAUGAGAACUGAAUGACAGGUGAGCGAAGGAAACACAUGCGAGGAGAGAGGUCGAGAUGAAAAGAUAAAGCUCCAGGAAAGCAACACUACAUUCCAGAAUCAAUGUGAGCAGAAAAAAACAAACAGGCAUGGAAUGCGAAGGACAGCAGGGAAAGAGUCAUGCAGACAAACAGAUGUGGUUUUGAUGAUCAAAUGGUCUGAUUUUUAGUUUGGUUUAGAUCCAUAUCCAUUUGUGUAACAGUGUUACCUGGAAUUUAAACUUAAAUGCAUUCACACUCAAUUCAAAUCAAUGUGAAUUUGAAUUCAUUCAUGGGACGGAGAUGGAAUUGAAUGUACUCCACAAUAUUUUUAUGAGAAUGAUAUAUUAAACAGGUAAGUCAUCAGGUGUUCAAUUUGUUACAGUGUUAUUUGGAAAUGAAACUGAAUUGCAUUCACACUCAAUUCAAAUCAAUGUGAUUUUGAAUUCAUUCGGACGGAGAUGGAAUUGAACACACUUCACAAUACGUUAUGAAAAAGUCAUUUUAAACAGAUGUCAUCAGGUGUGAGGCACAUUUCCCGGGAAUCAUUUUAAAAAGCUCAUCUUCUGUGUUCUGCACACUAGAAAGGAGCCAUUUCUGUGAA